CCGUAAACGAUGAAUGAUAGCUGUUGGGGUGCUUGCACUUCAGUAGAGCAGAUAACGCUCUAAGCAUUCCGCCUGGGGAGUACGGUCGCAAGAUUAAAACUCAAAGGAAUUGACGGGGGGCCGCACAAGCGGUGGAGCAUGUGGUUUAAUUUGAAGCAACGCGCAGAACCUUACCAUCCCUUGACAUGUCGUGCCAUCCGGAGAGAUCCGGGGUUCCCUUCGGGGACGCGAACACAGGUGCUGCAUGGCUGUCGUCAGCUCGUGUCGUGAGAUGUUGGGUUAAGUCCCGCAACGAGCGCAACCCACGUCCUUAGUUGCCAUCAUUCAGUUGGGCACUCUAGGGAGACUGCCGGUGAUAAGCCGCGAGGAAGGUGUGGAUGACGUCAAGUCCUCAUGGCCCUUACGGGAUGGGCUACACACGUGUUACAAUGGCGGUGACAGUGGGACGCGAAACCGCGAGGUUGAGCAAAUCCCCAAAAACCGUCUCAGUUCAGAUUGCACUCUGCAACUCGAGUGCAUGAAGGCGGAAUCGCUAGUAAUCGUGGAUCAGCAUGCCACGGUGAAUACGUUCCCGGGCCUUGUACACACCGCCCGUCACACCAUGGGAGUUGGUCUUACCCGACGGCGCUGCGCCAACCGCAAGGAGGCAGGCG
rnacentral:rRNA from 1 species